CCUCUACUGAGCCCCGGAGGCGUUUCCCGAAGGCUGUCUCAUUUUAAUGAGCCGCUGGUUUACUCUCCUGAGAUUCUCUUCAUUGGUGCAAUCACGUUUCAGAUGCCCAUCUUCUCCACAUCUGUAACAGAAGAUGUUAGCCUUGUUCACUGGUCUGGUUGGUGUUUUGCUCUCUGCAAACGCAGCUAGACUGUGAGUAACGGAGUGAUCAUAGGUCACUGGUUCCUUCGCCAUAGCUGACAAGCGAGACACCUCAUUCUUCAACCCCCUAAUCUCCCUCUUCAGCAUUUCUAAUUCUGAAUUGGCCAGAUUGGUGUUACUGGAUGACUCAUUCAUUGCAGGGGGUACCCCAGCCACAGCUACAUUUGCAUGCACUGAGCUCCUUUGCUUCAACAUACUCUCUUCUUCUCGCACCUCUUUCAUUAACUCAUUGAAGGAAGGAGGAGCACACAGUUUAUGGGUCAUCCUCAAACGCAUUGCCACCAGGUCACUUGAAAGAGCACCUCUAACUAUUUGCUGCAUUCGAAGACGAUUCAUUGCAGGGAACUCAAUGCCUCUUUUCCUCAGCAUACUGUGUAGCAUCCUAUCCAACCUCAUUAAGUAGGCUGAGAGCUUCUCUCCCUCACUCUGGUAAGUGUUCCGAAAUUUUAACAUCAAGUCUGCAGCAUCCUCAGUGGUGCCAAACGCUGACUCUAGCGCACUCAUGUACUCACUGAAAGUAGCAGAUGGGUUACCAGUCUUCUCGAAUCUUACAAUGUCCGCUGCAGGACCUCUGAGACACUCUACUAGUCUCUGCUUCUUGACAUUGUCUGAACACUGCCACUCUUCCAGAAUGUGAGUAGUCUGCUCCACCCAGACCUCAUACUCAUCCUCUCCAUGAGGAGUGGGAAUGAACCCAGAGAAGGGACGCAGCUUUCUAUAUCCCACUCUCUCCUCAGCCGAAGCCACAUGACAUGUUUGGACAAGGGAGUUUAUCGCAUCAACAAGCUUAGUGUCAAGCACAGGUGUAGAGGAAGCCACACUUGGAAUGUCAGAUAGCGACUUUCCCUCAGCAUGCAGAAAAGACAUCAGUUUUGUCUGAAACUCAUCUUCCUUUCUGUGUUUAGGUGCUUCAGCUGCGACAGGUACAACCUGCGUGUACCAAGUACCCACUUCAGAUCCUCCCAGCUCUGCCGAGCAGCAUCCAGCACUUCAUAAACUACUCUGUCCUCACAAU
ensembl:lncRNA